GACGAACGCUGGCGGCGUGCCUAAUACAUGCAAGUAGAACGCACAGUUUAUACCGUAGCUUGCUACACCAUAGACUGUGAGUUGCGAACGGGUGAGUAACGCGUAGGUAACCUGCCUGGUAGCGGGGGAUAACUAUUGGAAACGAUAGCUAAUACCGCAUAAUAUUAAUUAUUGCAUGAUAAUUAAUUGAAAGGUGCAAUUGCACCACUACCAGAUGGACCUGCGUUGUAUUAGCUAGUAGGUGAGGUAACGGCUCACCUAGGCGAGGAUACAUAGCCGACCUGAGAGGGUGAUCGGCCACACUGGGACUGAGAAACGGCCCAGAAUCCUACGGGAGGCAGCAGUAGGGAAUCUUCGGCAAUGGACGAAAGUCUGACCGAGCAACGCCGCGUGAGUGAAGAAGGUUUUCGGAUCGUAAAGCUCUGUUGUAAGAGAAGAACGGGUGUGAGAGUGGAAAGUUCACACUGUGACGGUAUCUUACCAGAAAGGGACGGCUAACUACGUG
rnacentral:rRNA from 1 species